UUGAACUGAAGAGUUUGAUCCUGGCUCAGAUUGAACGCUGGCGGCAUGCCUUACACAUGCAAGUCGAACGGCAGCACGGGGGCAACCCU
rnacentral:rRNA from 1 species